rnacentral:rRNA from 1 species
GAUGAACGCUGGCGGCGUGCCUAAUACAUGCAAGUCGAGCGAACAGACGAGGAGCUUGCUCCUCUGACGUUAGCGGCGGACGGGUGAGUAACACGUGGAUAACCUACCUAUAAGACUGGGAUAACUUCGGGAAACCGGAGCUAAUACCGGAUAAUAUAUUGAACCGCAUGGUUCAAUAGUGAAAGACGGUUUUGCUGUCACUUAUAGAUGGAUCCGCGCCGCAUUAGCUAGUUGGUAAGGUAACGGCUUACCAAGGCAACGAUGCGUAGCCGACCUGAGAGGGUGAUCGGCCACACUGGAACUGAGACAAGGUCCAGACUCCUACGGGAGGCAGCAGUAGGGAAUCUUCCGCAAUGGGCGAAAGCCUGAAGGAGCAAAGCCGCGUGAGUGAUGAAGGUCUUCGGAUCGUAAAACUCUGUUAUUAGGGAAGAACAAAUGUGAAAGUAACUAUGCACGUCUUGACGGUACCUAAUCAGAAAGCCACGGCUAACUACGUG